rnacentral:tRNA from 1 species
GGCUGUUGAGAGUAAAAUAGAUUACUCUUAAUCAGCGGGUCCACGGUUCGAGCCCGUGAUCACCCACCA